GAUGAACGCUGGCGGCGUGCCUAAUACAUGCAAGUCGAGCGAACAGACGAGGAGCUUGCUCCUCUGACGUUAGCGGCGGACGGGUGAGUAACACGUGGAUAACCUACCUAUAAGACUGGGAUAACUUCGGGAAACCGGAGCUAAUACCGGAUAAUAUAUUGAACCGCAUGGUUCAAUAGUGAAAGACGGUUUUGCUGUCACUUAUAGAUGGAUCCGCGCCGCAUUAGCUAGUUGGUAAGGUAACGGCUUACCAAGGCAACGAUGCGUAUCCGACCUGAGAGGGUGAUCGGCCACACUGGAACUGAGACACGGUCCAGACUCCUACGGGAGGCAGCAGUAGGGAAUCUUCCGCAAUGGGCGAAAGCCUGACGGAGCAACGCCGCGUGAGUGAUGAAGGUCUUCGGAUCGUAAAACUCUGUUAUUAGGGAAGAACAAAUGUGUAAGUAACUAUGCACGUCUUGACGGUACCUAAUCAGAAAGCCACGGCUAACUACGUA
rnacentral:rRNA from 1 species